rnacentral:lncRNA from 1 species
UGUCUCUGCCGUAACUUUUCCUCUUUGACUUCGUCUCUUGCCUUGGUCACUGGCGACCGACAUUUUCAGUUUGGACCCAUUCCCAUCCCCUGGCUAGAUUCUCCAUCGAUAGUUCCUCUUUAAUUAUCCCAUCUUCUCCAUGAUGUAGCAGUGCUCUCAAUACACACCCUGGUCCGGCAUCCUCUGUGGCUGAGUGCUUUCAAUCUUUAACCCAUGGGUACUUAACAUAUUCUGCUUCUGAGUCCAGGAUGAGAAGGAGCUUAGCUCCCAGCCAGUUGGCCAAGAGAAAAUCAGAGGGUAGGUCCUCUGAUGAUGAAGAUUGGCAGCCUGAGACAAUGACUCCUAAGAAACGGAAAUCCAGCAGUGAGACUCCGAUCCAAGAGUGUUUCCUAUCUCCUUUUCGGAAACCUUUGACUCAGCUAACCAAUCGACCACCCUGUUUGGAUAGCAGUCAACAUGUAAGUCAGCAUUUCAACUUGCCCAUGUAUGUCUGUGCCAGGUCCUUUUGGCUUAGUAGACUAUUGUUUCUGUUCUUACCCAGCAGACAGUAUAUCUUCACAGAAUGCCAGCCUGUCCACAGCUGGCCUCAGUUGGCUCAGAUUUCCAAGAUAAAGGAGCAGGCGUCUCAUGGCAACUGUCUUUGACUCUGCUUACUGCUUUUGUUUUUGUUUUCUG